CAAACUACACUUACUUCCCUUUUGGGGAAGGUCCUCGUAUGUGCAUAGGAAUGCGGUUCGGGCUGAUGCAGGUCAAGGCGGGACUGAUACACGUGCUCUCCAGUUACGAGGUGGCGCCUUGCAAAGAAACUCCUGUGCCUGUCGUCUAUGACCCCAAAUCCUUUUUGCUGCUGACCCAAGGGAAGAUGCCGCUGUCCUUCAAACGCAUUUAAGUUUCGUCUUUGGUCAUGAAUCACUCGUUUUUUACAAUUAAGACGAAAAUAAGUGGACGACAAAAUGUGGUUCUCUUUAAUUCUAUAUUAAAAGUUUGCUUUUCUGUCGCCCUGUGCAAUUAAUAUAGACGAAAUUACAGUUAAUGAACUAACCACCAGAAGCUUCGAUGUCUGCUUCUCUAUUUCUGUGAUGUACAUUGACAUGUGCGAAGUGUGUGAAAAUUGCUAUUUACGUGUGUUUUUAUUCAUGCUUAAGAAGAUGGAAAUAAAAAUAACAUUUCUGCAUUUA